rnacentral:rRNA from 1 species
GGUUAAGCGACCAAGCGUACACGGUGGAUGCCCUGGCAGUCAGAGGCGAUGAAGGACGUGCUAAUCUGCGAAAAGCGCCGGUAAGGUGAUAUGAACCGUUAUAACCGGCGAUGUCCGAAUGGGGAAACCCAGUGUGACUCGUCACACUAUCAUUAACUGAAUCCAUAGGUUAAUGAGGCGAACCGGGGGAACUGAAACAUCUAAGUACCCCGAGGAAAAGAAAUCAACCGAGAUUCCCCCAGUAGCGGCGAGCGAACGGGGAGGAGCCCAGAGCCUGAAUCAGCAUGUGUGUUAGUGGAAGCGUCUGGAAAGGCGCGCGAUACAGGGUGAGAGCCCCGUACACAAAAGCGCAUAUGCUGUGAGCUCGAUGAGUAGGGCGGGACACGUGGUAUCCUGUCUGAAUAUGGGGGGACCAUCCUCCAAGGCUAAAUACUCCUGACUGACCGAUAGUGAACCAGUACCGUGAGGGAAAGGCGAAAAGAACCCCGGCGAGGGGAGUGAAACAGAACCUGAAACCGUGUACGUACAAGCAGUGGGAGCCCCACCACUAAGCCAGUGGUGAACUCCACAUACGCAUCCUUUGCGGAAGAUGCGGUUAACGGAGCGAAAGCGACGUUCAACCUCAGAAGAAGCAGAGGGGGCUUAGUGGUGGGGUGACUGCGUACCUUUUGUAUAAUGGGUCAGCGACUUAUAUUCUGUAGCAAGGUUAACCGCAUAGGGGAGCCGAAGGGAAACCGAGUCUUAAUUGGGCGUUAAGUUGCAGGGUAUAGACCCGAAACCCGGUGAUCUAGCCAUGGGCAGGUUGAAGGUUGGGUAACACUAACUGGAGGACCGAACCGACUAAUGUUGAAAAAUUAGCGGAUGACCUGUGGCUGGGGGUGAAAGGCCAAUCAAACCGGGAGAUAGCUGGUUCUCCCCGAAAGCUAUUUAGGUAGCGCCUCGUGAAUUCAUCUCCGGGGGUAGAGCACUGUUUCGGCUAGGGGGCCAUCCCGGCUUACCAACCCGAUGCAAACUGCGAAUACCGGAGAAUGUUAUCACGGGAGACACACGGCGGGUGCUAACGUCCGUCGUGAAGAGGGAAACAACCCAGACCGCCAGCUAAGGUCCCAAAGUCAUGGUUAAGUGGGAAACGAUGUGGGAAGGCCCAGACAGCCAGGAUGUUGGCUUAGAAGCAGCCAUCAUUUAAAGAAAGCGUAAUAGCUCACUGGUCGAGUCGGCCUGCGCGGAAGAUGUAACGGGGCUAAACCAUGCACCGAAGCUGCGGCAGCGACACUGUGUGUUGUUGGGUAGGGGAGCGUUCUGUAAGCCGUUGAAGGUGUCCUGUGAGGGGUGCUGGAGGUAUCAGAAGUGCGAAUGCUGACAUAAGUAACGAUAAAGCGGGUGAAAAGCCCGCUCGCCGGAAGACCAAGGGUUCCUGUCCAACGUUAAUCGGGGCAGGGUGAGUCGACCCCUAAGGCGAGGCCGAAAGGCGUAGUCGAUGGGAAACGGGUUAAUAUUCCCGUACUUGGUGUUACUGCGAAGGGGGGACGGAGAAGGCUAUGUUGGCCGGGCGACGGUAGUCCCGGUUUAAGCGUGUAGGUGUGUGUUCCAGGUAAAUCCGGUUCACUUUAACACUGAGGCGUGAUGACGAGGCACCACGGUGCUGAAGCAACAAAUGCCCUGCUUCCAGGAAAAGCCUCUAAGCAUCAGGUAACAUCAAAUCGUACCCCAAACCGACACAGGUGGUCAGGUAGAGAAUACCAAGGCGCUUGAGAGAACUCGGGUGAAGGAACUAGGCAAAAUGGUGCCGUAACUUCGGGAGAAGGCACGCUGACACGUAGGUGAAGUGAUUUACUCAUGGAGCUGAAGUCAGUCGAAGAUACCAGCUGGCUGCAACUGUUUAUUAAAAACACAGCACUGUGCAAACACGAAAGUGGACGUAUACGGUGUGACGCCUGCCCGGUGCCGGAAGGUUAAUUGAUGGGGUCAGCGCAAGCGAAGCUCCUGAUCGAAGCCCCGGUAAACGGCGGCCGUAACUAUAACGGUCCUAAGGUAGCGAAAUUCCUUGUCGGGUAAGUUCCGACCUGCACGAAUGGCGUAAUGAUGGCCAGGCUGUCUCCACCCGAGACUCAGUGAAAUUGAACUCGCUGUGAAGAUGCAGUGUACCCGCGGCAAGACGGAAAGACCCCGUGAACCUUUACUAUAGCUUGACACUGAACAUUGAGCCUUGAUGUGUAGGAUAGGUGGGAGGCUUUGAAGCGUGGACGCCAGUCUGCGUGGAGCCGACCUUGAAAUACCACCCUUUAAUGUUUGAUGUUCUAACGUGGACCCGUAAUCCGGGUUGCGGACAGUGUCUGGUGGGUAGUUUGACUGGGGCGGUCUCCUCCUAAAGAGUAACGGAGGAGCACGAAGGUUGGCUAAUCCUGGUCGGACAUCAGGAGGUUAGUGCAAUGGCAUAAGCCAGCUUGACUGCGAGCGUGACGGCGCGAGCAGGUGCGAAAGCAGGUCAUAGUGAUCCGGUGGUUCUGAAUGGAAGGGCCAUCGCUCAACGGAUAAAAGGUACUCCGGGGAUAACAGGCUGAUACCGCCCAAGAGUUCAUAUCGACGGCGGUGUUUGGCACCUCGAUGUCGGCUCAUCACAUCCUGGGGCUGAAGUAGGUCCCAAGGGUAUGGCUGUUCGCCAUUUAAAGUGGUACGCGAGCUGGGUUUAGAACGUCGUGAGACAGUUCGGUCCCUAUCUGCCGUGGGCGCUGGAAGACUGAGGGGGGCUGCUCCUAGUACGAGAGGACCGGAGUGGACGCAUCACUGGUGUUCGGGUUGUCAUGCCAAUGGCACUGCCCGGUAGCUAAAUGCGGAAAAGAUAAGUGCUGAAAGCAUCUAAGCACGAAACUUGCCCCGAGAUGAGUCUUCCCUGAGACUUUGAGUCUCCUGAAGGAACGUUAAAGACGAUGACGUUGAUAGGCCGGGUGUGUAAGCGCAGCGAUGCGUUGAGCUAACCGGUACUAAUGAACCGUGAGGCUUAACCUU